GACGAACGCUGGCGGCGUGCUUAACACAUGCAAGUCGAACGAUGAAGCCUAGCUUGCUAGGUGGAUUAGUGGCGAACGGGUGAGUAAUACGUGAGUAACCUACCUUUAACUCUGGGAUAAGCCUGGGAAACUGGGUCUAAUACCGGAUACGACCAAUCUCCGCAUGGGGUGUUGGUGGAAAGCGUUAUGUAGUGGUUAUAGAUGGGCUCACGGCCUAUCAGCUUGUUGGUGAGGUAACGGCUCACCAAGGCGACGACGGGUAGCCGGCCUGAGAGGGUGACCGGCCACACUGGGACUGAGACACGGCCCAGACUCCUACGGGAGGCAGCAGUGGGGAAUAUUGCACAAUGGGCGCAAGCCUGAUGCAGCGACGCCGCGUGAGGGAUGACGGCCUUCGGGUUGUAAACCUCUGUUAGCAGGGAAGAAGAGAGAUUGACGGUACCUGCAGAGAAAGCGCCGGCUAACUACGUGCCAGCAGCCGCGGUAAUACGUAGGGCGCGAGCGUUGUCCGGAAUUAUUGGGCGUAAAGAGCUUGUAGGGCGGUUUGUCGCGUCUGCUGUGAAAGGCCGGAGCUUAACUCCGUGUAUUGCAGUGGGUACGGGCAGACCAGAGUGCAGUAGGGGAGACUGGAAUUCCUGGUGUAGCGGUGGAAUGCGCAGAUAUCAGGAGGAACACCGAUGGCGAAGGCAGGUCUCUGGGCUGUAACUGACGCUGAGAAGCGAAAGCAUGGGGAGCGAACAGGAUUAGAUACCCUGGUAGUCCAUGCCGUAAACGUUGGGCACUAGGUGUGGGGGACAUUCCACGUUUUCCGCGCCGUAGCUAACGCAUUAAGUGCCCCGCCUGGGGAGUACGGCCGCAAGGCUAAAACUCAAAGAAAUUGACGGGGGCCCGCACAAGCGGCGGAGCAUGCGGAUUAAUUCGAUGCAACGCGAAGAACCUUACCAAGGCUUGACAUAUACUGGACCGCAUCAGAGAUGGUGUUUCCCUUCGGGGCUGGUAUACAGGUGGUGCAUGGUUGUCGUCAGCUCGUGUCGUGAGAUGUUGGGUUAAGUCCCGCAACGAGCGCAACCCUCGUUCUAUGUUGCCAGCACGUAAUGGUGGGGACUCAUAGGAGACUGCCGGGGUCAACUUGGAGGAAGGUGGGGAUGACGUCAAAUCAUCAUGCCCCUUAUGUCUUGGGCUUCACGCAUGCUACAAUGGCCGGUACAGAGGGUUGCGAUACUGUGAGGUGGAGCUAAUCCCUAAAAGCCGGUCUCAGUUCGGAUUGGGGUCUGCAACUCGACCCCAUGAAGUCGGAGUCGUUAGUAAUCGCAGAUCAGCAACGCUGCGGUGAAUACGUUCCCGGGCCU
rnacentral:rRNA from 1 species